UUAAGCGACUAAGCGUACACGGUGGAUGCCCUGGCAGUCAGAGGCGAUGAAGGGCGUGCUAAUCUGCGAUAAGCGCCGGUAAGGUGAUAUGAACCGUUAUAACCGGCGAUACCCGAAUGGGGAAACCCAGUGUGAUUCGUCACACUAUCAUUAACUGAAUCCAUAGGUUAAUGAGGCGAACCGGGGGAACUGAAACAUCUAAGUACCCCGAGGAAAAGAAAUCAACCGAGAUUCCCCCAGUAGCGGCGAGCGAACGGGGAGGAGCCCAGAGCCUGAAUCAGCAUGUGUGUUAGUGGAAGCGUCUGGAAAGGCGCGCGAUACAGGGUGACAGCCCCGUACACAAAAGCGCAUGUGCUGUGAGCUCGAUGAGUAGGGCGGGACACGUGGUAUCCUGUCUGAAUAUGGGGGGACCAUCCUCCAAGGCUAAAUACUCCUGACUGACCGAUAGUGAACCAGUACCGUGAGGGAAAGGCGAAAAGAACCCCGGCGAGGGGAGUGAAAAAGAACCUGAAACCGUGUACGUACAAGCAGUGGGAGCCCCACCACUAAGCCAGUGGUGAACUCCACAUCCGCAUCCUUUGCUGAGGAUACGGUUAACGGAGCGAAAGCGACGUUCAACCGCAAAACAAGCAGAGGGGGCUUAGUGGUGGGGUGACUGCGUACCUUUUGUAUAAUGGGUCAGCGACUUAUAUUCUGUAGCAAGGUUAACCGAAUAGGGGAGCCGGAGGGAAACCGAGUCUUAAUUGGGCGUUAAGUUGCAGGGUAUAGACCCGAAACCCGGUGAUCUAGCCAUGGGCAGGUUGAAGGUUGGGUAACACUAACUGGAGGACCGAACCGACUAAUGUUGAAAAAUUAGCGGAUGACCUGUGGCUGGGGGUGAAAGGCCAAUCAAACCGGGAGAUAGCUGGUUCUCCCCGAAAGCUAUUUAGGUAGCGCCUCGUGAAUUCAUCUCCGGGGGUAGAGCACUGUUUCGGCUAGGGGGCCAUCCCGGCUUACCAACCCGAUGCAAACUGCGAAUACCGGAGAAUGUUAUCACGGGAGACACACGGCGGGUGCUAACGUCCGUCGUGAAGAGGGAAACAACCCAGACCGCCAGCUAAGGUCCCAAAGUCAUGGUUAAGUGGGAAACGAUGUGGGAAGGCCCAGACAGCCAGGAUGUUGGCUUAGAAGCAGCCAUCAUUUAAAGAAAGCGUAAUAGCUCACUGGUCGAGUCGGCCUGCGCGGAAGAUGUAACGGGGCUAAACCAUGCACCGAAGCUGCGGCAGCGAACGUAUCACUUAAAGCGAUUCAGCGGGUUACGAUUGACGGAGCGAAGCGACGUCAAAGCGUAUACAAAGUCGAGUCGGUUUAAGGAUACGUUCGUUGGGUAGGGGAGCGUUCUGUAAGCCCGUGAAGGUGGCCUGUGAGGGUUGCUGGAGGUAUCAGAAGUGCGAAUGCUGACAUAAGUAACGAUAAAGCGGGUGAAAAGCCCGCUCGCCGGAAGACCAAGGGUUCCUGUCCAACGUUAAUCGGGGCAGGGUGAGUCGACCCCUAAGGCGAGGCCGAAAGGCGUAGUCGAUGGGAAACGGGUUAAUAUUCCCGUACUUGGUGUUACUGCGAAGGGGGGACGGAGAAGGCUAUGUUGGCCGGGCGACGGUUGUCCCGGUUUAAGCGUGUAGGUGUGUGUUCCAGGUAAAUCCGGUUCACUUUAACACUGAGGCGUGACGACGAGGCACUACGGUGCUGAAGCAACAAAUGCCCUGCUUCCAGGAAAAGCCUCUAAGCAUCAGGUAACAUCAAAUCGUACCCCAAACCGACACAGGUGGUCAGGUAGAGAAUACCAAGGCGCUUGAGAGAACUCGGGUGAAGGAACUAGGCAAAAUGGUGCCGUAACUUCGGGAGAAGGCACGCUGACACGUAGGUGAAGUGAUUUACUCAUGGAGCUGAAGUCAGUCGAAGAUACCAGCUGGCUGCAACUGUUUAUUAAAAACACAGCACUGUGCAAACACGAAAGUGGACGUAUACGGUGUGACGCCUGCCCGGUGCCGGAAGGUUAAUUGAUGGGGUCAGCGCAAGCGAAGCUCCUGAUCGAAGCCCCGGUAAACGGCGGCCGUAACUAUAACGGUCCUAAGGUAGCGAAAUUCCUUGUCGGGUAAGUUCCGACCUGCACGAAUGGCGUAAUGAUGGCCAGGCUGUCUCCACCCGAGACUCAGUGAAAUUGAACUCGCUGUGAAGAUGCAGUGUACCCGCGGCAAGACGGAAAGACCCCGUGAACCUUUACUAUAGCUUGACACUGAACAUUGAGCCUUGAUGUGUAGGAUAGGUGGGAGGCUUUGAAGUGUGGACGCCAGUCUGCAUGGAGCCGACCUUGAAAUACCACCCUUUAAUGUUUGAUGUUCUAACGUGGACCCGUUACCCGGGUUGCGGACAGUGUCUGGUGGGUAGUUUGACUGGGGCGGUCUCCUCCUAAAGAGUAACGGAGGAGCACGAAGGUUGGCUAAUCCUGGUCGGACAUCAGGAGGUUAGUGCAAUGGCAUAAGCCAGCUUGACUGCGAGCGUGACGGCGCGAGCAGGUGCGAAAGCAGGUCAUAGUGAUCCGGUGGUUCUGAAUGGAAGGGCCAUCGCUCAACGGAUAAAAGGUACUCCGGGGAUAACAGGCUGAUACCGCCCAAGAGUUCAUAUCGACGGCGGUGUUUGGCACCUCGAUGUCGGCUCAUCACAUCCUGGGGCUGAAGUAGGUCCCAAGGGUAUGGCUGUUCGCCAUUUAAAGUGGUACGCGAGCUGGGUUUAGAACGUCGUGAGACAGUUCGGUCCCUAUCUGCCGUGGGCGCUGGAGAACUGAGGGGGGCUGCUCCUAGUACGAGAGGACCGGAGUGGACGCAUCACUGGUGUUCGGGUUGUCAUGCCAAUGGCACUGCCCGGUAGCUAAAUGCGGAAGAGAUAAGUGCUGAAAGCAUCUAAGCACGAAACUUGCCCCGAGAUGAGUUCUCCCUGAGACUUAGAGUCUCCUGAAGGAACGUUGAAGACGACGACGUUGAUAGGCCGGGUGUGUAAGCGCAGCGAUGCGUUGAGCUAACCGGUACUAAUGAACCGUGAGGCUUAACCUU
rnacentral:rRNA from 1 species